CCCUUAGAUGUUCUGGGCCGCACGCGUGCUACACUGAGUGGAUCAGCGGGUCAGGUUGCGCGAAAGUGUUUCCUAAUCUUGAAAUCCGUUCGUGAUGGGGAUUGACGGUUGCAAUUUUCCGUCAUGAACGAGGAAUACCUUGUAAGCGCGGGUCAUCAUCCCGCGCUGAAUACGUCCCUGCCCUUUGUACACACCGCCCGUCGCUCCUACCGAUUGAAUGUGUUGGUGAGGAGCUCGGAUUGGCAGCAGUUGGUGGUUCGCCACCGGCUAUUGCUGAGAAGUCCUCCAAACCGCCCCAUUUAGAGGAAGGAGAAGUCGCAACA
rnacentral:rRNA from 1 species